GGCCGAUUAGCUCAACCGGAUAGAGCAAUGUCCUUCUAAGGCAAAGGCUGUGGGUUCGAAUCCCACAUUGGCCC